rnacentral:rRNA from 1 species
AGUGAACGCUGGCGGCGUGCCUAAUACAUGCAAGUCGAACGGAGUGGCGCACGGGUGAGAAAUAUAUAGCUAAUCUGCCCCUUGCUGGAGGACAACAGUUAGAAAUGACUGCUAAUACUCCAUAGAAAGGGAUGAGACCAUAUCGUAUCAGCGAGUCGGUGUGGUAACGCUCUACCGAGGCUAUGACGCGUAACUGGUCUGAGAGGAUGAUCAGUCAAAUUGGAAGUGAGACACGGUCCAAACUCCUACCGGAAGCAGCAGUAGGGAAUAUUGCGCAAUGGGGGAAAACCUGACGCAGCAACGCGGCGUGGAGGAUGACACUUUUCGGAGAGUAAACUCCUUUUGUUAGGGAAGCGGUACCUAAAGAAUAAGCACCGGCUAACUCCGUGCCAGCCGCCGCGGUAAUAC